GUCUACAGCCAUACCACCCUGAAUGUGCCCGAUCUCGUCUGAUCUCAGAAGCUAAGCGAGGUCGGGCCUGGUUAGUACUUGGAUGAGAUGGGAUCCUGCUGUGCCAUUGAAC
rnacentral:rRNA from 1 species